GGGGGUGGCAUGUUCUGUCACAUCUUGCGAAGGUCAAUGCCGGCCUUCUUGGCGACGGCGUCAAUGCCGUUCUUCUCGAUGGUCUUGAGGGCCUUGGUAGAAAGGCGAAGCUUGACGAACCGCUUCCCAGCCUCCCACCAUACCCUCUUAUACUGCAGGUUGACAAACUGGAGCCUCUUGGUCUUGUGGUUGGAGAAAGAUACGUGGUUGGCCCUGUUCGCCUUCUUCCCCGUGAACGGGCAGAUCCGGCGGGCGACGAUGGUGGUGGGGCGGAGGAGGGGGAGAGGGAGGGGAGGGGAGACGCAGGAGAGUCUGGCACCGCCGGUGAACUGGGAAACGCUGAAGCGGAGCUCCGACGCCAUGGAAGGGACGGCGGGCCCGGAAACUCGGAUCCUAGAGAUGGCACAACGGGACUCCGAUGAUCUGCCGAAUGAAAGGGCGGCCGUCGGCCAAAUCGCCGCCACGCUCGCCGCCGCAGCCAUUUUCGCCUCGGAGCUCCUUGUUGGGUCUUAUCUGUAGAGCGAUA
rnacentral:misc_RNA from 1 species